rnacentral:rRNA from 1 species
AGUGGGUUUAGACCCACGGCGAACGAGGUAGUAACACGUAGGUAUCUGCCCUCAAGUCAGGAAUAUCCCAUCGAAAGAUGGAGCAAUACUUGAUAGUCUCUACGGAGUAAAGAUUUAUCGCUUGAGGAAGAGCCUGCUUAAUAUCAGCUUGUUGGUAAGGUAACGGCUUACCAAGGCUAUGACAUUUAGGGGAGCUGAGAGGCUGACCCCCACCGACGGAACUGAGACACGGUCCGUACCUCUACGGAGGGCAGCAGCCGAGAAUAUUCCGCAAUGGACGAAAGUCUGACGGAGCGACGCCGCGUGAUGGAUGAAGUCCUUCGGGACGUAAACAUCUUUUAUCGGGGAUGAAAUUUUGACAGUACCCGAGGAAUAAGGGGCUCCUAACUCUGUGCCAGCAGGAGCGGUAAUACAGAGGCCCCAAGCGUUACCCGGAAUCACUGGGCGUAAAGGAUGCGUAGGUGGCAGUGCUAGUCUUUAGUGAAAUCCUUCGGCUCAACCGAAGGGAUGUCUAGGGAAACGGCACAGCUAGAGGAUGUAAGAGGUAUGCGGAACUCACGGUGUAGGGGUAAAAUCCGUUGAUAUCGUGGGGAACACCAUAGGCGAAGGCGGCAUACUGGGACAUUCCUGACACUGAGGCAUGAAAGCGUAGGUAGCGAACGGGAUUAGAUACCCCGGUAGUCUACGCCCUAAACGAUGU